AGGUGCGAUCAUACCAGCACUAAUGCACCGGAUCCCAUCAGAACUCCGCAGUUAAGCGUGCUUGGGCGAGAGUAGUACUAGGAUGGGUGACCUCCUGAGAAGUCAUUGUGUUGCACCUC
rnacentral:rRNA from 1 species